rnacentral:rRNA from 1 species
GACGAACGCUGGCGGCGUGCUUAACACAUGCAAGUCGAACGGAAAGGCCCUGCUUUUGUGGGGUGCUCGAGUGGCGAACGGGGGAGUAACACGUGAGUAACCUGCCCCUGACUUUGGGGUAACUUCAGGAAACUGGGGCUAAUACCGGAUAGGAGCUCCUGCUGCAUGGUGGGGGUUGGAAAGUUUCGGCGGUUGGGGAUGGACUCGCGGCUUAUCAGCUUGUUGGUGGGGUAGUGGCUUACCAAGGCUUUGACGGGUAGCCGGCCUGAGAGGGUGACCGGCCACAUUGGGACUGAGAUACGGCCCAGACUCCUACGGGAGGCAGCAGUGGGGAAUAUUGCACAAUGGGCGGAAGCCUGAUGCAGCAACGCCGCGUGCGGGAUGACGGCCUUCGGGUUGUAAACCGCUUUCGCCUGUGACGAAGCGUGAGUGACGGUAAUGGGUAAAGAAGCACCGGCUAACUACGUG